GACGAACGCUGGCGGCGUGCUUAACACAUGCAAGUCGAACGGAAAGGCCCUGCUUUUGUGGGGUGCUCGAGUGGCGAACGGGUGAGUAACACGUGAGUAACCUGCCCUUGACUUUGGGAUAACUUCAGGAAACUGGGGCUAAUACCGGAUAGGAGCUCCUGCUGCAUGGUGGGGGUUGGAAAGUUUCGGCGGUUGGGGAUGGACUCGCGGCUUAUCAGCUUGUUUGUGGGGUAGUGGCUUACCAAGGCUUUGACGGGUAGCCGGCCUGAGAGCGUGACCGGCCACAUUGGGACUGAGAUACGCCCCAGACUCCUACGGGAGGCAGCAGUGGGGAAUAUUGCACAAUGGGCGGGAGCCUGAUGCGGCAGCCCCGCGAGCGGGAUGACCGCCUUCGGGGUGUAAACCGCUUUCGCCUGUGACGAAGCGUGAGUGACGGUAAUGGGUAAAGAAGCACCGGCUAACUACGUG
rnacentral:rRNA from 1 species